rnacentral:misc_RNA from 1 species
UCCCCGUUACCGAGGCAGUCUGAAUAGAAAAAUACAACUAUUCACGAGGGUUGCGCUCGUUUAAGGACUUAACCUGACAUCUCACGACACGAGCUGACGACGGCCAUGCAUCACCUGUCACUGGUCCAGCCGAACUGACGCUCUAAUCUCUUAGAGCUGCGACCAGGAUGUCAAACCUGGGUAAGGUUCUUCGCGUAGCCUCGAAUUAAACCACACGCUCCUCUGCUUGUGCGGCUCCCCGUCAAUUCCUUUGAGUUUUAGCCUUGCGGCCGUAGUCCCCAGGCGGGAUGCUUAACGCGUUAGCUUCGUUACCGAUCGGGUCGAUGCGACCGACAACCAGCAUCCAUCGUUUACGGCGUGGACUAC